GGCAUAGCUCAGUGGUAGAGUGCAUGCUUAGCAUGCACGAGGUCAUGGGUUUGAUCCCCAGCACUGCCA
rnacentral:tRNA from 1 species